AGAGUUUGAUUCUGGCUCAGAAUGAACGCUGGCGGCGUGCUUAACACAUGCAAGUCGAACGAGAAAGGGAUUGCUUGCAAUCCCGAGUAGAGUGGCGCACGGGUGAGUAACACGUAGAUAAUCUGCCUUCAAGCCUGGGAUAACUAUUCGAAAGGGUAGCUAAUACCGGAUAAAGUCGAUCUACACAAGUAGAUUGAUGAAAGAUUGCCUCUUCUUGAAAGCAAUUGUUUGGAGAUGAGUUUGCGUACCAUUAGCUUGUUGGUGGGGUAAAGGCCUACCAAGGCAACGAUGGUUAGCUGGUCUGAGAGGAUGAUCAGCCACACUGGAACUGGAACACGGUCCAGACUCCUACGGGAGGCAGCAGUGAGGAAUUUUGCGCAAUGGGGGCAACCCUGACGCAGCAACGCCGCGUGAGUGAAGAAGGCCUUUGGGUCGUAAAGCUCUGUCAACAGGGAAGAAGUUACAAUUGUUUAACAGAUGGUUGUAUUGACGGUACCUGUGGAGGAAGCGCCGGCUAACUCCGUGCCAGCAGCCGCGGUAAU
rnacentral:rRNA from 1 species